GUAUCCUUAGCUCAAAAGACAGAGCCCCGUGCUGUGGACGCGGAGGUUAUCGGUUCAAAUCCGAUAGGACGCC
rnacentral:tRNA from 1 species